rnacentral:misc_RNA from 1 species
AAGUGAGCGAAUAAAGAAGCAACCGAAAGGAGCCAUACGCCCGCACACAGCAGCUCUCCCAUCCCCCCUUCUCUUGCCAUGGCUCGGCGGUGCAAGGGGGCACACACACACACAGCUGCGCUUUUCGUUGUUAUCUCCGUUUCACUGCACUGACUUCCCUCUGCAUUCGCGAUUGACAUCGUGCGUGGAGCGUGUGGCUCCGCGUGUUUCUUGCGCGUGCCCCAGCGAGUCAGCAUCGGCUUUUACAGUGCGAGCCUCACCAGACUGCGUGCUUUCUGCGCGCGCGCACACACACACAUACGUUCCCGCUGACCUCCUUACGGCACUUGGACCCCUCGCAAAGGUUGGCUGUAUCACACCUCUUCCCUUCUGCUUCCACCCUCCAUAGGGGCCGCCUUCCUGCACUCCCCCGUUGUGUUUUCCGCUGCUGCAUCAUGUCCUUUAUGCGAAAUCGCUUCCUGCGCUCCGCGUACGACGAGCUUGUCGUGGUCGGCAGCCGCUGGACACGAGUGCUGGCUGUGUCCGUCGAUGCCGCCGAAGUGGGGCCGCCGCACGUGCAGAGCCACCUGGCGCACCCUAUCAUCACUGUUAUCCCGACGCUGCACGUAGCAGGCAUUAAGUUCUACGACCGCGUGCUGGAGUACAUUGACCACGCCGUAAAGCGCAACAAGGACACGCUGGUGCUACUGGAGGGCAUCUGCGACAGCGAGGCGGCUGAGAAGCAGCAGAUGCAGGAGUACCAGGACAUCAUGCGAAACGAUGCCCUGCGGCAGACAAUGCUUGCCAAGGCUGACGACAACACUCUCUACUCACCCGAGGUGAUGAGGGAGAUUUGCCAGGAGAUGGACAUCCGUUACGAGCUCUUGCAAUCGAUGGAGUCCACGGUGCGCCUGCAGGAGUGCUACCUGAAGCCCAAGCUGGCUGCCAUGUGCGGGCUGAACCUGCGCAACCACGCCGACUUACACAUGCACGAGGUGCAGCGCCUACUCGAGGAGGAGUCCGUGAGGCUUCAAACGCUCGGCGAGCGCCUUCCAUCCAGCAUCGCGGUAAGUCAGCUUGGCUCCUUCCCUGUAAUUCGCAAGCACCGCGAGCGCAAGGUGGCACAAGUGGCGCGGAUGCAUUGUAUCCGCUGGUUUGAGCAGGAAACGGACGGCGAGGUGAUCAUCCCAUGGGGCUACUUCCACACUGAGGCAAUCAUCCACUACAUCCUAGAAGGAAACAAGUCUGUUAGCGCCGCCGUCGACACCAAUGGCGGCGGUGUCGCUUCCUCAACGGGAACGAGCAGUAGCGCUGGCGCCGCGUCACCGAGUGAUGAGGCAAGCACAAGGAGCUCCACGGGCCCAGGGAGACUGAGUGCCAAGGCAGCAGCUGCAGGUGGUGUCGCUGGCGCAGCCGCGGCAAUCGAGCACGCUCCACCUCGACUCGUGUUCGUGGAGGCCGAUGAGCUGCUCGCCAAAGUUCCCUUCAGCGUACCAAAGGAGCUUAUCGAGCGGACGCCAGAGGACGCAGACAGCAGCAAGUGCAGCUGAGGACUUGCAUCCUUUCCUCCGCAUUCUUUUUGCGUUUCGCCCUCCUUUUUCUCUGCAUCGCUGCUGUGCGAGCGAGAGGGCGGGCGCGAGUUGUGCUGCAGUGGGCACAUGCGUGUGUGUGCGUGCGUGUGCCUGCGCCAAAGUUACAGGAUGCGGGGAAGGGUGGCGCACACCCUGUGCAAAAGGAGCCCGAAUCCGUUAUGCGGUGAUGGGGAGACGCCCGCAUGUGAGCAAGACAGCGCGGAAACACAACAGAAGAUGGGACCGCGGCCCAAAGAGAGAAAGGAUGUGGAGAAGAAGGAAUGGUCGAGCGUCUGGAAACAGCCCCCUGCCUGGUUGAUUCCCUUCGCUGACGAGCGUGCCCUGAUGAUGAACAAAGACGGUGACGGUGGGCAAAGGCACUCGCACGUGAACUCGCACGCAUCUGCAACGCUGUGUGUGCACGAUCGAUCCUCUAGAUGCGCGUUUCUCGUAUGGGACACGAACGUACACCUGGCAGGCGCUUCCAUACAAGUACCCCGUGCUCGAGCGACUCCUCUUUAUCCCUCGCUCUUGCUCUGGUGUACAUGGCCUAGGCUGUUGAUCCCCCUCCCCUGAUGAGGGAGGGCCGCAGCGUGACACUAGUGUCCAGUACCCACUCUGUAGGGAAGCCAAGAGCCUGCCGCCUGCGAUUGGGUACGGUUUUGGACUCAUGGUCUUGGCGGACAGAGCUGGGCUGGCGCUGUGCUGAAGAGACUUUCUGGCAUGAUCACGUUCGUGCCAGCUCACCAAAUAUCGUGCCGAUGACUCAACAAGUAUGCGCAUCCACUUACCACCUCUCUGCGUUGGCUGUGUGGCGGUGGCGCUGAGCGCAAUUCUGGACCUGGCUUGCCACUGCAUGCCGUGCGAACGACGCCAAGCGGUGUUGGCUGGCCUUAUGUCCUUGGUAUACAGCCGUAGUGCAGCGGAGGUAGACGAAAUGUGGUUGUGCAUCCGCACAUCUGUGGACGCGCUGGUGGUAGCAUGGACACCUUGAAGAACGACAAAAAAAAAACCUGCACUCUCUCUGAAGAGGCCGUGCAGCCCGGCAGCCAUGCAGCCCCCGCGAAAUGCCGAGCCACCCCUGGCGGUGACAGGGCCGAGUGCCUACACCACAGGGAGGCCAGGGCGACCUAUGGCUACUGAUGUCGGCCGUGCCAGAUCGUGGAUGGCGUUGCGUCGGAGAGACCUGCGGCAGUAGACACACUAGUGCCGUCCACGCGGAGGGCGGGGUGUCAGCGUGGCUCGGACGCGGCUCCCCCGGCCCUCACACUGCCUUUGCUGGUGGUGCGGAGCCUGAGAGCCACCCCGAGCUGCAUGCACCUGGGGUGGGGACCGGCAUGAUGUGAGCGGCUGUGAGGCGACGUGCGAAGCGGAGCUGGGUAGAGUUUGGUGCAGGGGCCGCGCUCUCAGAUGACUGGGCCGGCAGCAUUCUAACGCGUGUCUCCCGCUGCACCGCACCAGGCGAUGGGGGCCUGCGGCAUUCCGGCUUCGGCGGCGUUUGAACCCGUGUUGCACGGCAGCGAAACGGGCAUCUUG